GAUCUGUGCUAUGGAAAUAUUGAUGGCGUUGAAAGGGAUGAGAGUAUUGGGAAGUUGUUGGUUGUGGGUGGGGUGGAAAGAUUUGAUAAAUCUAAUUUUAAAGAGAUUAAAUCUUUCCUACUCCUCCCAUACCCAUGACUUCCACUAGCUUCUCCCUUUCUUCAUUUGUCAUCUCCUUUGCUAAGUUC